rnacentral:rRNA from 1 species
CUACGUGCCAGCAGCCGCGGUAAUACGGAAGGUCCAGGCGUUAUCCGGAUUUAUUGGGUUUAAAGGGAGCGUAGGCUGGAGAUUAAGUGUGUUGUGAAAUGUAGACGCUCAACGUCUGAAUUGCAGCGCAUACUGGUUUCCUUGAGUACGCACAACGUUGGCGGAAUUCGUCGUGUAGCGGUGAAAUGCUUAGAUAUGACGAAGAACUCCGAUUGCGAAGGCAGCUGACGGGAGCGCAACUGACGCUUAAGCUCGAAGGUGCGGGUAUCAAACAGGAUUAGAUACCCUGGUAGUCCGCACAGUAAACGAUGGAUGCCCGCUGUUAGCGCCUGGCGUUAGCGGCUAAGCGAAAGCAUUAAGCAUCCCACCUGGGGAGUACGCCGGCAACGGUGAAACUCAAAGGAAUUGACGGGGGCCCGCACAAGCGGAGGAACAUGUGGUUUAAUUCGAUGAUACGCGAGGAACCUUACCCGGGCUUGACAU